GACCCUCCUCAUAAUCCACAAACACCCCGACCUUCUCAGGCUGAGACCUCACAGAGAGACGGACUGGAGGGACACAGCAAGCUUUGUACUCAUUUUCACUUCUCAACCAUAUGGUUCAGUAACCAUCCUGAGGACAUAGUGUGAAGUAUUUU